AUUGAACGCUGGCGGCAUGCCUUACACAUGCAAGUCGAACGGUAACAGGUCUUCGGAUGCUGACGAGUGGCGAACGGGUGAGUAAUACAUCGGAACGUGCCCGAUCGUGGGGGAUAACGAAGCGAAAGCUUUGCUAAUACCGCAUAAGAUCUAAGGAUGAAAGCAGGGGACUGCAAGGCCUUGUGCGAACGGAGCGGCCGAUGGCAGAUUAGGUAGUUGGUGGGAUAAAAGCUUACCAAGCCGACGAUCUGUAGCUGGUCUGAGAGGACGACCAGCCACACUGGGACUGAGACACGGCCCAGACUCCUACGGGAGGCAGCAGUGGGAAUUUUGGACAAUGGGCGAAAGCCUGAUCCAGCCAUGCCGCGUGCAGGAUGAAGGCCUUCGGGUUGUAAACUGCUUUUGUACGGAACGAAAAGACUCUUUCUAAUAAAGAGGGUCCAUGACGGUACCGUAAGAAUAAGCACCGGCUAACUACGUGCCAGCCGCCGCCGUAA
rnacentral:rRNA from 1 species